rnacentral:rRNA from 1 species
UCUUAGCUUGCUAAGGCUGAUGGCGACCGGCGCACGGGUGAGUAACACGUAUCCCAUCUGCCGUCUACUCUUGGCCAGCCUUCUGAAAGGAAGAUUCAUCCAGGAUGGGAUCAUGAGUUCACAUGUCCGCAUGAUUAAAGGUAUUUUCCGGUAGACGAUGGGGGUGCGUUCCAUUAGAUAGUAGGCGGGGUAACGGCCCACCUAGUCAACGAUGGAUAGGGGUUCUGAGAGGAAGGUCCCCCACAUUGGAACUGAGACACGGUCCAAACUCCUACGGGAGGCAGCAGUGAGGAAUAUUGGUCAAUGGGCGAUGGCCUGAACCAGCCAAGUAGCGUGAAGGAUGACUGCCCUAUGGGUUGUAAACUUCUUUUAUAAAGGAAUAAAGUCGGGUAUGCAUACCCGUUUGCAUGUACUUUAUGAAUAAGGAUCGGCUAACUCCGUGCCAGCAGCCGCGGUAAUACGGAGGAUCCGAGCGUUAUCCGGAUUUAUUGGGUUUAAAGGGAGCGUAGAUGGAUGUUUAAGUCAGUUGUGAAAGUUUGCGGCUCAACCGUAAAAUUGCAGUUGAUACUGGAUGUCUUGAGUGCAGUUGAGGCAGGCGGAAUUCGUGGUGUAGCGGUGAAAUGCUUAGAUAUCACGAAGAACUCCGAUUG